AGUCUCCCGCCGGGCAAAGGGAAUCGUGGGGGUCCUUAACGUUGAGGCGCCACAGAGGGGUUUCUGCUUGUGGACGAACCUUUUAUAGCUCCCUCUACGGAGACCAGAGGGGACGAAUCUAGCAUCCCCCUUGACUUGUGUCCCUUACCUAUUCCCAACCAUAAAAAACAAAGCCGCGGACACGGAAGGGAGGCGACCACCCCGCUGGGGUGCUGGGGUCGCCAAGUUUCAGGUUCCCUCUCCGGGUGGGGGCGGAGUCGGUUGCCGUAGCAACGGAGGCUGGGGCCUUGCCUUUAUAGACUGCAUCAGACUUGAUCAGGUUAUAUUUUCCACUGUUUCAUGAACUGCUUUCAUCUGCCCUGUUAACCAAACCCCCGAGACUCUGUUAACUGUAGAGGCAUUUGAACUAAUAAAAUAUAUUCAGAAUCUCUGGUGUUUGAAUGUUAACUUUCUCCCCCUGUUUAAACAAAUAGGCUAUAAGCACGCAUUCUUAGGAAGAUUUCAGGCCGGCGUUGGCGUACUCACAUAGCUUUUCUUGGACGAAAGUGUGUGGUAAAUGCAGUCACUUUCAUCAGCAGACCUUUUUUUCAAAUUUGUUUCCCCAACUUCCCAGUUUCUGGUGACCUCUCAAUGAAUGGCUUACCCUGGAUUGUGUCUUUAUGCCGUAGGCAUUAUCACUGUAAGUAUUUGUGGAGUAUUAUUCUUUUAUUACAGUAAAAAUUAUAGAAAUAGGCCAGGCGCGGUGGCUCAUGUCUGUCAUCCCAGCACUUUGGGAGGCCGAAGCGGGUGGAUCACCUGAGGUCAGGAGUUCAAGACCAGACUAGCCAACGUGGUGAAACCCCGUCUCUACUAAAAAUACAAAACUUAGCCAGGUGUGAUGGCAGGUGCCUGUAAUCCCAACUACUUGGGAGGUUGAGGCAGGAGAAUAGCUUGAACCCGGGAGGCAGAGGUUGCAGUGAGCUGAGAUCAUGCCAUUGCACUCCAGCCUGGGCGACAAGAGCGAAACUCUGUCUCAAAAAUAUAUAUAUAUAGAAAUAAUUUAGGUUAGGACCAUAAAACUUGUCUUAGGAUAUUGCUUUGUAACAGAGAUAAUACAUAGCACUCCUAUGUGCCAGAGAUUCGUUGUUAUUAUUCAUUAUAUAGAAUUAAAAGAUCCAAGGGGGCAGUUUUCAUUUCCUUUCAAUCAGUUGUACUUACUGCUGUAUCAUCAGGGGCCUGAUGCAUGGGGCAUAUAUGCUCAGUAAGUAUUUAUUUAAAUGAAUUAAUGUUCUGGCACUUUAUCUGAAUCAUCUCAUUUCAUCCUCACUGCAACACUAUGAAAGAGACGCAAUUAUCUUCAGCAUCUUACAAAUCCUAAAAAUGAGGCAAGAGAAAUACAAACUAAGUACUAAGCCCCCCAGCUGACUGAACGGACUCCCUUUUGGCCAAGGGGACCCAGAGUAACCUUGAAAACUGAGUUCUUGCUUUGCCUUGUUAUAUCCCCUCCCUCACUAACCAGGAUCAGGCUUUCUUCCCUAAGGGAUAAAUAGAAACCAUCCCUUUCAAAAGACUCCACCACUGAUAUCAGCCUGUUGCUGCCCUCCGUUUUGUGCGUAACAGACUACCCACUAUGGAAUGGUUCUGGCCAAUCUACGGAGCAGGCACAGUAAGGGUUUUAUUGGCCUCUACUUCACCUUUUGACAUCAGAGGCUGAAAACUCUUCAGAUCAUGCUGAUGCCCCAUUGUUUGUACCUAGGACCCAUGAAGGGGCAAUGAAGCUCAAUUGCACAUGUACAUGUUUCUCCUUUCAUAAAUAUUCAUGAUUCCUCCUAUAGCUUAUUAAAUAUGUAUAUUCUGCCACCCUGCUUCCUCUCACUUUGUCCCUCCCUCAGAAUGUAUGUUUUUGGCUUCAGGCUGGAGGCUACGCUUCCCAGCCUGUCAGGCCACUCUGCAGGCUGAAACCCUUAUGCACCUCAUCGUUCUUUAGGUCAAAAGCAUAAGAAAGUUACCUUCUGAUAUGGUUUGGCUGUGUCCCCACCUUGGUUUGGUUGUGUCGCCACCCA
rnacentral:lncRNA from 10 species